rnacentral:rRNA from 1 species
UACGUAGGUGGCAAGCGUUGUCCGGAAUUAUUGGGCGUAAAGCGCGCGUAGGUGGCCCCAUAAGUCCGCUGUGAAAGUCAAAGGCUCAACCUUUGAAAGCCGGUGGAUACUGUGGGACUAGAGUACGGAAGAGGCGAGUGGAAUUCCUGGUGUAGCGGUGGAAUGCGCAGAUAUCAGGAGGAACACCUGCGGUGUAGACGGCUUUCUGGACCAUUGUUGACGCUGAGACACGAAAGCGUGGGUAGCAAACAGG